rnacentral:rRNA from 1 species
GACGAACGCUGGCGGCGUGCCUAAUACAUGCAAGUCGAGCGGACCGGAUUGGGGCUUGCCUUGAUUCGGUCAGCGGCGGACGGGUGAGUAACACGUGGGCAACCCGCCCGCAAGACCGGGAUAACUCCGGGAAACCGGAGCUAAUACCGGAUAACACCGAAGACCGCAUGGUCUUCGGUUGAAAGGCGGCCUUUGGGCUGUCACUUGCGGAUGGGCCCGCGGCGCAUUAGCUAGUUGGUGAGGUAACGGCUCACCAAGGCGACGAUGCGUAGCCGGCCUGAGAGGGUGACCGGCCACACUGGGACUGAGACACGGCCCAGACUCCUACGGGAGGCAGCAGUAGGGAAUCUUCCGCAAUGGGCGAAAGCCUGACGGAGCGACGCCGCGCGAGCGAAGAAGGCCUUCGGGUCGUAAAGCUCUGUUGUGAGGGACGAAGGAGCGCCGUUCGAAGAGGGCGGCGCGGUGACGGUACCUCACGAGAAAGCCCCGGCUAACUACGUGCCAGCCGCCGCGGUAA